AACCUGGUUGAAUCCUGCCAGUAGUCAUAUGCUUCGUUCAAGGGCUAAGCCAUGCAAGUCUCAGAGUACAUGGGCUUGCACAGUGGGUCUGUGAAUGGCUCCUUACAUCAGCAGUCACCUCCGUGAUAGAGCAUUGUGAUGGCCCCACGACAGGCUCCAGCCUGGCCAAAGGAGGCUCUCUUGGACAUCCUCCAAAACCUAGUGGCUAAUACACGGUCGAAGGCAUCUGCCACGCUUGUGUGCACCUACCAUCAGGAAUGCUUCCAGGAGGCUGACCUGUGGUGGAUUGCACCCAGCCGCUGAGAAGACCAGCGCCUGGAAAGAUGGCAGUGUGGCCUUGCUGACUCAGGCUGGUCCUCCCAGGACAGCUGCGCUGGCAGAGUGGUGGCCUCCCGGUCACAGCAUUGCUUGAUCACACGGACCUCUGACCUAUCAGCCUCGACUGUGGUGUUGUGGACCCCAGUGGCUCCGACGGGUGACGGAGAAUCAGGGUUCGAUUCCGGAGAGGGAGCCUGAGAGACGGCUACCACUACCAAGGUGGGCAGCAGGCACGCAAAUUGCCCAAUGUGAAGACCUCCCAUGAGGCAGCAACGAACUGCAGCAAGCCUGCCUAUCAUCUGAUGGGUGGGCCUUGGAAUGGAUGCUAUGCAAACACAGUGAUGAGUAUCAACUGGAGGGCAAGUCUGGUGCCAGCAGCUGCGGUAAUUCCAGCUCCAAGAGUGUAUACUGACAUUGCUGCUGUUAAAACACUUGUAGUCUGACGCUGGGCACAGGUCUGCCAGGUGGCCGAAUGGUGAAGGUCUUGUGGGCCUCGGUUCACAGGCCGUAAGCCUCUCGGAACUCAACCCCUGGCAGUAUGCUCCUGGGCCCGUCACCAUGAUGGUGUGAAGAGCUCCUGCUCCAAGUCUUCUUCAGUGGGGAUCGAUGUGGUCUCAUGCCCAACGCUCGUGUGCCUGACAUAAGGGACGCUGGCUCCUGCUGGCGAUCCAUUCCCUGUCCACCACCGGAGUCCUCCAUCGCUGUCACCGUGGAAAACUCAGUGUGCUCCAAGCAACCUCGUGGCUGAAUGCCCAUCCAUGGAAUGACAAAGCAUCGACCUGCUGUGGCUGUGAAGUUGUGCUGGCCUUGGUGCCCAUGCAGGGUAACCUGGUGGCACCUCCCCUGGUGGCCUGCUGUCGUGGAACUCCCAGGAGAACCUCUUCAGUGUGGCCUCCAGUGGGGUAUGGUGACCCCAUACGCCCUCGAUGGGACAGCUCUGGGUGAAGGGUACUGCGGCGCUAGAGGUGAAAUUCUUAGACCACCGCAAGACCAGCGGUGGCGACGGCGCUCUGCUCCUGCCUGUUCGUCGAUCAAGAAUGAGAGUGUGGGGAGCGAAGAUGAUCAGACACCGUCGUAGUCCACAACUGUGAACCAUGCCAGCUCAGUGCUGAAGGUGCACUGACCAGGACUCCCUCAGCGCUAAUCCCCCUGCAACGAGAAAUCCAAGCCUUUGGGUUCAGGGGGGAGUACGGCUGCAAGGCUGAAACUUAAAGGAAUUGACGGAAAGGCACCACCAGGCGUGGAGUAUGCGGCUUAAUUUGACUCAACACGGGGAAUGUUACCAGGUCAGGACGAUGUCUGGAUGGACAGAUUGAGAGCUCUUUCCUGAUCCCUCGGAUGGUGGUGCAUGGCCGCUCCUGAUUGGUGGAGUGAUUUGUCUGGUUGAUUCCGUUAACGAGUGAGAUCUCUGCCUCCCAAUAGCCUCAGCCUCGCUAUGUAGAGUGGAUGGCCACGCCGUGGAUGGUACAAAGCCAUCCUAGUGGUGAUCGCUCGAGAGGACUGUGGCCAAGCUUCUCUGAGGUACUAUGCACACCUCCAAGUGCAUGUAUGCGAGAGCCAACAGCAGGUCUGUGAUGCUCCCAGAUGUCCUGGGCCGCACGCGCACUACAUUGGUUUGGUGAAGGGGUGGACGUCGCUUGUAUCCCACAAGCCCUGCCCUGAAGAGGUUGGGAAAUCCUCCGAGCCCAGCCCGUACUGGGGAUAGAUGCUUGCAACUGUCUGCCUUGAACGAGGAAUGCCUAGUAUGCCUGGGUCAUCAGCCCAGACCGAUUGCGUCCCUGCCUUUUGUACACACCGCCCGUCGUUGCUACCGAUGGCAAUUGGAUAGAGCCAUCAGGAAGUUGGUGGUUCACCCUGGAUCACCAGCAGAACUUGGGCAAUGUCCCUGUGCUAGAGGAAGCAAAAGUCGUAACAAGGUUGUUGUAGGUGAACCUGCAGAAGGAUCAAA
rnacentral:rRNA from 1 species